rnacentral:rRNA from 1 species
CGCCAGCGACGUGGCAGCGUGGGCUGUAAUACGUGGGGGGCGAGCGUGGUGCGGGAUUACGGGGCGUAAAUGGGUCGUAGGGGGUUGUUGCGUUGUUCGUGAAAACGAGGGGCUUAACCUCUGGCGUGCGGGCGAUACGGGCAGACUGGAGUACUGCAGGGGAGACUGGAAUUCCUGGUGUAGCGGUGGAAUGCGCAGAUAUCAGGAGGAACACCGGUGGCGAAGGCGGGUCUCUGGGCAGUAACUGACGCUGAGGAGCGAAAGCGUGGGGAGCGAACAGGAUUAGAUACCCUAGUAGUC